rnacentral:rRNA from 1 species
GUUUUUUAAUUGGAAACUGGCAUGAAUGGUCAAACGAAGGGUUAACUUUCUUUAUCUUAUUUAAAAUAAAUUUAUUUUUCUGUGAAAAAGCAGAGAUGUUAUUAGAAGACGAUAAGACCCUUUAAAACUUUAUUUGACUUUAGAAGUAUAAAUGUAUAGGUGUUUCUUUUCUGCUUUUAUUAUCAAAUUUUAUUGGGGCGAUAGGUAAAUUUAUAUAACUUUAUUUUAUUAUUUUCAUUGAUUAAUGUUUUUAUGAUCCAGUUUAUUCUGAUUAUAAGUUUAAGUUACUUUAGGGAUAACAGCGUAAUCUUGUUGGAGAGUUCUUAUUGAUGGCGAGGUUUGCGACCUCGAUGUUGGAUUAA